rfam:Asian citrus Psyllid, Diaphorina citri - Florida Strain, whole genome shotgun sequence.
ACCUCGGUGGCGUAGUGGUCAAGACGCUCGCCUGGUAAUCAGGAGGGCGUGGGUUCGAUCCCAGCCGAGGUA